GAUGAACGCUGGCGGCGUGCCUAAUACAUGCAAGUUGUGCGGUAACAGAGAGAGCUUGCUCUCUGCUGACGAGCGGCGGACGGCAGAGUAACGCGUAGGAACAUACCCCAAACUGAGGGAUAACUGCUCGAAAGAGUAGCUAAUACCGCAUGUGGUCUUCGGAUUAAAAGCUUCGGCGGUUUGGGAGUGGCCUGCGUCCGAUUAGCUAGUUGGUGAGGUAAUUGGCUCACCAAGGCGACGAUCGGUAGCUGGUCUGAGAGGAUGAUCAGCCUGACUGGAACUGAGAACGGUCCAGACUCCUACGGGAGGCAGCAGUAGGGAAUUUUCCACAAUGGGCGAAAGCCUGAUGGAGCAACGCGCGUGCAGGAUGAAUG
rnacentral:rRNA from 1 species